rnacentral:rRNA from 1 species
UUUCGAACGCACAUUGCGGUCCACGGAUACGAUUCCCGGACCACGCCUGGCUGAGGGUC